AACGAACGCUGGCGGCAUGCCUAACACAUGCAAGUCGAACGAGACCUUCGGGUCUAGUGGCGCACGGGUGCGUAACGCGUGGGAACCUGCCCUUAGGUUCGGAAUAACUCCCCGAAAGGGGUGCUAAUACCGGAUAAUGUCUUCGGACCAAAGAUUUAUCGCCUUUGGAUGGGCCCGCGUUGGAUUAGCUAGUUGGUAGGGUAAAAGCCUACCAAGGUGACGAUCCAUAGCUGGUCUGAGAGGAUGAUCAGCCACACUGGGACUGAGACACGGCCCAGACUCCUCCGGGAGGCAGCAGUGGGGAAUAUUGGACAAUGGGCGAAAGCCUGAUCCAGCAAUGCCGCGUGAGUGAUGAAGGCCUUAGGGUUGUAAAGCUCUUUUACCCGGGAUGAUAAUGACAGUACCGGGAGAAUAAGCUCCGGCUAACUCCGUG
rnacentral:rRNA from 1 species